UAGGCUGAUGCCAAGAUUCCAGAUGUGCAGGCGGGCCACGAGAAGACCCUCACUACUCUUCUCCCCGCUCUGGCCGGUGCGAACACCAUCUAUGGCGCC
rnacentral:ncRNA from 1 species